GUUAUGGGUAUAACUAACAGAGCACGGGUAUAAACCCGUGCUCUGUUAGUUAUACCCAUAUAUAUAGAUUUUGGCAGAAGUUAAAAUAAAAAAAAACUUUAUAGUUUUUUUUUAUUUUAACUUCUGUCAAAAACU